GGAAAAGAAACGAAUCCAAUACAGCCCAGAAACCUGCAGCAUCUCAAUCAUCUGAAACUGAAAGCUGACAGGGACUCGGAGAGCAGCCCAGUGCAGCUGCUCCAGACAUUUUUUGCUAUGUAGCCAUCCCUACAUCUCUUGUGAGUGCAUCAUGAAAGACAAGAAUGGGACCGGUACCAGGGGUGCUGCAGAGCCUGAUCACAGGUGUAACGUACGUGGGGAUCUUUCUCCAUCAGGUGGACUAUGAAGUCUUUAGCUAGUGAAAAAGAAAGAAGUUGGAGAUCGAGAGCAGAAAAAUAGUAGAGACCCAAUCCAAGAGCCAGGACUGGGAAGAACAUCAACAUGGGAUCAUUGCUUUGGCUCGUGGGCUCAACAGCUGCAAUGUGGAAGGUAGGGAUCGGAAAAAUUAUUUAGUGGCUUAGAAAAUCCAGACAUCAUUUUCUCUGUAUAAGAAAGAGCUUUACUGGCUUUGGAAACAAACUCUUGCUUAAAAGUGUCUCUGUUGUACACAGGACUUGCUAAAGGUGAGAAGUGUCAGGUGUGUGAGUGGAUGUUAACAAGCCCCAGCUGAAUACUUCAGGUUGGGGAGUUUUUGCUGUAAGAUCAGAUCUGUGUGUAGCAAAGAGGAAAACUUGAUUGUUACAUGUACCAGAACCGUUGAGAACUGGUUCCAAUUCGUCUGAUCCAUUGGAAUCGUUUCAGAGCAAUUUCACAGCUUUAACCAUUGUUUUUCCUCUAGAUUGGCUCUGACUCUGUGUUAUAUCUACAUCAAUGUCAUGCUGAGAGGACUGGAGAAAAACAGCUUG